rnacentral:rRNA from 1 species
CCUACGGGUGGCAGCAGUGGGGGAUAUUGCACAAUGGGGGAAACCCUGAUGCAGCGACGCCGCGUGUGGGAAGACGGUCCUCUGGAUUGUAAACCACUGUCCCCAGGGACGAAGAUGACGGUACCUGGGGAGGAAGCUCCGGCUAACUACGUGCCAGCAGCCGCGGUAAUACGUAGGGAGCGAGCGUUGUCCGGAAUUACUGGGUGUAAGGGGAGCGUAGGCGGGACUGCAAGUUGGGUGUAAAAUCUACCGGCUCAACCGGUAGCCGCACUCAAAACUGCAGUUCUUGAGUGAAGUAGAGGCAGGCGGAAUUCCUAGUGUAGCGGUGAAAUGCGUAGAUAUUAGGAGGAACACCAGUGGCGAAGGCGGCCUGCUGGGCUUUUACUGACGCUGAGGCUCGAAAGUGUGGGGAGCAAACAGGAUUAGAUACCCUAGUAGUC